GUGCUCGCCCCCGCAGCGUGCAUACUGAAGUUGGAACGGUGCAGACAUCAGCGCGGCCCCUGCGCCAGGACGACGGGCAAAUUAGCGAAGCGGUCCAUGUUUUU